AGGAGAAGUGUGUGCUCUGCUGCACGACAAGUGCACGCCACAAGACUGUUCCCUCAAGCCUUUCUGUACCACACAGAACGAGAAUUGCACGUGCAGCGAUGGCUGUGUCCCGUACUUCUCCAAGGAAACCUCAGGCGAUCACGCUGUUUGUCCCCCAUGUCUGUGCAAGGUAUACGUUCAGGGAAGCAACGGAAACAAAACAACGGACGAAACUUCUGAGGAGAACCACGAGGACGGUGCCGAGGACCACACUGACGUGGAUCCAAAUGAGCAACCCGAAGACGGUGCCGAGGAGAACACUGAUGUGGAUCCCAAUGAGCAACCCGAAGACGGUGCCGAGGAGAACACUGAUGUAGAUCCCAAUGCGCAGCCAGAAGACCACACUAAUGAGGAUUCUGAUGAGCAGCCCGAGGACCAUCCCGAAGAGGAGCAGGAGAGUGAUGUCGACGCUGAACAUGACUCUGAGAGCAAGAAUGAAGACGAA